GUUAAGCGACUAAGCGUACACGGUGGAUGCCCUGGCAGUCAGAGGCGAUGAAGGACGUGCUAAUCUGCGAUAAGCGUCGGUAAGGUGAUAUGAACCGUUAUAACCGGCGAUUUCCGAAUGGGGAAACCCAGUGUGAUUCGUCACACUAUCAUUAACUGAAUCCAUAGGUUAAUGAGGCGAACCGGGGGAACUGAAACAUCUAAGUACCCCGAGGAAAAGAAAUCAACCGAGAUUCCCCCAGUAGCGGCGAGCGAACGGGGAGGAGCCCAGAGCCUGAAUCAGUGUGUGUGUUAGUGGAAGCGUCUGGAAAGGCGCGCGAUACAGGGUGACAGCCCCGUACACAAAAAUGCACAUACUGUGAGCUCGAUGAGUAGGGCGGGACACGUGGUAUCCUGUCUGAAUAUGGGGGGACCAUCCUCCAAGGCUAAAUACUCCUGACUGACCGAUAGUGAACCAGUACCGUGAGGGAAAGGCGAAAAGAACCCCGGCGAGGGGAGUGAAAAAGAACCUGAAACCGUGUACGUACAAGCAGUGGGAGCCUCUUUAUGGGGUGACUGCGUACCUUUUGUAUAAUGGGUCAGCGACUUAUAUUCUGUAGCAAGGUUAACCGAAUAGGGGAGCCGAAGGGAAACCGAGUCUUAACUGGGCGUUAAGUUGCAGGGUAUAGACCCGAAACCCGGUGAUCUAGCCAUGGGCAGGUUGAAGGUUGGGUAACACUAACUGGAGGACCGAACCGACUAAUGUUGAAAAAUUAGCGGAUGACUUGUGGCUGGGGGUGAAAGGCCAAUCAAACCGGGAGAUAGCUGGUUCUCCCCGAAAGCUAUUUAGGUAGCGCCUCGUGAAUUCAUCUCCGGGGGUAGAGCACUGUUUCGGCAAGGGGGUCAUCCCGACUUACCAACCCGAUGCAAACUGCGAAUACCGGAGAAUGUUAUCACGGGAGACACACGGCGGGUGCUAACGUCCGUCGUGAAGAGGGAAACAACCCAGACCGCCAGCUAAGGUCCCAAAGUCAUGGUUAAGUGGGAAACGAUGUGGGAAGGCCCAGACAGCCAGGAUGUUGGCUUAGAAGCAGCCAUCAUUUAAAGAAAGCGUAAUAGCUCACUGGUCGAGUCGGCCUGCGCGGAAGAUGUAACGGGGCUAAACCAUGCACCGAAGCUGCGGCAGCGACACUAAGUGUUGUUGGGUAGGGGAGCGUUCUGUAAGCCUGUGAAGAUGUGCUGUGAGGCAUGCUGGAGGUAUCAGAAGUGCGAAUGCUGACAUAAGUAACGAUAAAGCGGGUGAAAAGCCCGCUCGCCGGAAGACCAAGGGUUCCUGUCCAACGUUAAUCGGGGCAGGGUGAGUCGACCCCUAAGGCGAGGCCGAAAGGCGUAGUCGAUGGGAAACAGGUUAAUAUUCCUGUACUUGGUGUUACUGCGAAGGGGGGACGGAGAAGGCUAUGUUGGCCGGGCGACGGUUGUCCCGGUUUAAGCGUGUAGGCUGGUUUUCCAGGCAAAUCCGGAAAAUCAAGGCUGAGGCGUGAUGACGAGGCACUACGGUGCUGAAGCGACAAAUGCCCUGCUUCCAGGAAAAGCCUCUAAGCAUCAGGUAACAACAAAUCGUACCCCAAACCGACACAGGUGGUCAGGUAGAGAAUACCAAGGCGCUUGAGAGAACUCGGGUGAAGGAACUAGGCAAAAUGGUGCCGUAACUUCGGGAGAAGGCACGCUGAUAUGUAGGUGAAGCGACUUGCUCGUGGAGCUGAAAUCAGUCGAAGAUACCAGCUGGCUGCAACUGUUUAUUAAAAACACAGCACUGUGCAAACACGAAAGUGGACGUAUACGGUGUGACGCCUGCCCGGUGCCGGAAGGUUAAUUGAUGGGGUUAGCGGUAACGCGAAGCUCUUGAUCGAAGCCCCGGUAAACGGCGGCCGUAACUAUAACGGUCCUAAGGUAGCGAAAUUCCUUGUCGGGUAAGUUCCGACCUGCACGAAUGGCGUAAUGAUGGCCAGGCUGUCUCCACCCGAGACUCAGUGAAAUUGAACUCGCUGUGAAGAUGCAGUGUACCCGCGGCAAGACGGAAAGACCCCGUGAACCUUUACUAUAGCUUGACACUGAACAUUGAGCCUUGAUGUGUAGGAUAGGUGGGAGGCUUUGAAGUGUGGACGCCAGUCUGCAUGGAGCCGACCUUGAAAUACCACCCUUUAAUGUUUGAUGUUCUAACGUUGGCCCGUAAUCCGGGUUGCGGACAGUGUCUGGUGGGUAGUUUGACUGGGGCGGUCUCCUCCUAAAGAGUAACGGAGGAGCACGAAGGUUGGCUAAUCCUGGUCGGACAUCAGGAGGUUAGUGCAAUGGCAUAAGCCAGCUUGACUGCGAGCGUGACGGCGCGAGCAGGUGCGAAAGCAGGUCAUAGUGAUCCGGUGGUUCUGAAUGGAAGGGCCAUCGCUCAACGGAUAAAAGGUACUCCGGGGAUAACAGGCUGAUACCGCCCAAGAGUUCAUAUCGACGGCGGUGUUUGGCACCUCGAUGUCGGCUCAUCACAUCCUGGGGCUGAAGUAGGUCCCAAGGGUAUGGCUGUUCGCCAUUUAAAGUGGUACGCGAGCUGGGUUUAGAACGUCGUGAGACAGUUCGGUCCCUAUCUGCCGUGGGCGCUGGAGAACUGAGGGGGGCUGCUCCUAGUACGAGAGGACCGGAGUGGACGCAUCACUGGUGUUCGGGUUGUCAUGCCAAUGGCACUGCCCGGUAGCUAAAUGCGGAAGAGAUAAGUGCUGAAAGCAUCUAAGCACGAAACUUGCCCCGAGAUGAGUUCUCCCUGACCCUUUAAGGGUCCUGAAGGAACGUUGAAGACGACGACGUUGAUAGGCCGGGUGUGUAAGCGCAGCGAUGCGUUGAGCUAACCGGUACUAAUGAACCGUGAGGCUUAACC
rnacentral:rRNA from 1 species